AACAUGGUGAAACCCCAUCUCUACUAAAAAUACAAAAAUUAGCCGGGUGUGGUGGUGGGUGCCUGUAAUCCCAGCUACUUGGGAUGCUGAGGCAGAAGAAUCACUUGAACUCGGGAGGCAGAGGUUGCAAUGAGCCGAGAUCAUGCCACUGCACUCCAGGCUGGGUGACCGAGUGAGACUCCGUCUCAAAAAAAAAAAUAAACAAAAAACCAACUUACUGCCCAGAACAGUCUAAGGGGCUUUCAUUCUAUUUUUCUGUAGCAGUUUCAGAGUUUCAGGCCUUACAUUUAUUUGUUAUUAUUACUUUUGAGAUGGAGUGUCACUCUUGCUGCCCAGGCUGGAGUGCAAUGGUGCACGAUCUCAGCUCACUGCAACCUUCACCUCCCGGGUUCAAGUGAUUCUUCUGCCUCAGCCUCCCGAAUAGCUGGGAUUACAGGCGCCUGCAACCACACCGAGCUAAUUUUGUAUAUUUAGUAGAAAUGGGGUUCCACUACCUUGGCCAGGCUGGUCUGGAACAACUGACCUCAGGUAAUCUGCCUGCCUCCACCUCCCAAAGUGGUAGGAUUACAGGUGUGAGCCACCAGGCUCAUCUCAAGCCUUACAUUUAAGCGUCUAAUUUAUUUUGAAAUGGUUUUUAUAUACGGUGUGAGAUGAGGGUCUCAUUUUAUUUCUCUGCCUGUGGACAUAAAGUUUUCUCAACAUCAUUUAUUGAAGUUACUGUUCUUUUGGCUCAUGCCUGUAAUCCCAGCCCUUUGGAAGGCUAAGGAGGGUGGAUCAUGAGGUCAGGAGAUCGAGACCAUCUUGGCCAACAUGGUGAAGCCCCAUCUCUAAUAAAAUACAAAAAAGUAGCCAGGUGUGGUGGCACGCGCCUGUAGUCCCAGCUACUCAGGAGGCUGAGGCAGGGGAAUCACCUGAACCCAGAUGGCAGAGGUUGCAGUGAGCCGAGAUCGUGCCACUGCACUCCAGCCUAGCAACAGAACAAGAGUCCAUCUCAAAAAUAAAAAAAGAAAUUGUCAGCUUUAUUCCAAAUCACUUAGCUGUAAAUACAUGGAUAUAUUUCUGGUCUCUUUUUUUCUACUGCAUUGGCCUAUGUGUCUGUUUUUAUUCAAGUACCAUACUGUUUUAGUUACUAUUGCCUUGUAGAAUAUUUUGAAGGUAUGGUAAUACCUUUACUUUUUUUUCUUGAUUGCUUUGGCUAUUCAGGGUCUUUUGUGGUACCAUAUAAAUUAAAUUUUCUAUGCAGUAUGCCACUGGUAUUUUGAUAGGGGUUGCAUUAUAUCUGUAGAUCAAUUUGUGUGAUAUAGAAAUUUAUUAAUGCAAUUCAUAAAUGAGUAGUAUUUCAUUUGCGCAUUACUCAAUUUAUGUAAUGCUGUUUACAGUAUAAUAUAAGGUGUUUCAACUUUUUGGUUAAGUUUUUUUCAAAAUAUAGUUACUACAGUUUUUGUAGAUGGAAUUAUUUUUUAAUUUCAUUUUGAGAUAUUUGUUAGUGUACAUAAAUGCUACUGACUUUUGGAUGUUGCUUUUGUAUUCUGAAAGUUUAAUAAAUGUGUUUAUUUUAAUAUUUUUCAGUAAAAUCUUCGGCUGUUCUAUACUUCAGAUUAUGUACAGAGAUAAAAGAUAAUUAUAUAGGGAUAAUGUAAUUUCUUCUUAACCUGGAUGUCUUUGAUUUUAUUCUCUAAUUUCUUUGUCAUGGGCAUUUAGUACUAUGUUUAGUAAGACUGAUUAGAGUGGGCAUCCUUGUCUUGUUUUAGCUUUUAGAGUAAAAGUUUACAAUAUAUCCCCGUUUAGUAUGUUGUUAGCUGUGCAUUUUUUUGGUUAUAUGUGGCAUUUAUUGGCUGAGGUGCAUUUGUUCUAUACCUAAAUUUUUCAGAGAUUUAUCAUAAGGGAAUGUCAACUUUUGUCAAACUUUUAUUCUGCAUCUGUUUUUUUUUUCUGUUGUUCUCUGCAUCUAUUUAAAUAUUAGAGAUGUGAAAUCACAACUAAUCCUACAUAAAUGCAAAAAAUUGUCAGAGACUACUAUGAACACCUCUAUGCAUGCAAACUAGA
rnacentral:lncRNA from 10 species